rnacentral:tRNA from 3 species
GCGCCCGUAGCUCAGCUGGAUAGAGUACCUGGCUACGAACCAGGUGGUCGGGAGUUCGAAUCUCUCCGGGCGCACCA